AAUGGCUUCUGCAAGCUUCAUGUGAAAACUGCUGAACUGCAUAAUAAGAAUAGAUAUUGCAACGGUUAACGGGAUAAGGGGCAUAAUUUACGGUCAAGUUAGUUUGAAUUAAUUAAUAUCUUACGGAUUAAAGGGUCAUUUUCCAAGCAUAACAUUAUAACAGUACUUACACAUAAUAAAAAAAAACAAUAUAGUUUAUAGAGAGAGAACAUUUCAUUUUUCUGAUCUGUUAGUUAAUUUAAACUGUAGUACUAUUUGGAAAGAAAAUAAUACAUUAAUUAAUUUUUUAAAUAGUGUAUUUAAGACAGAGAGAGAACGUUUCAUUUUUCUGAUCUGUGAGUUAAUUUAAACUGUAGUAUUUGGAAAGAAAAUAAGACAUUAAUUCAUUUUUCUGAUCUGUGAGUUAAUUUGAAUAUAUAGUGUAUUUGGAAAGAAAUCAAGACAUUAAUUGGUUUUUCUGAUCUGUGACUUAAUUUUGAAUAUAUAUAGUGUAUUUGGAAAGAAAUCAAUACAUUCCUUUUUUCUGAUGUGAGUUAAUUUGAAUAUAAACUGUAAAGUGUAUUUGCAGAAAGAAAGAAAAAGACAUUUAUUUUUUUAAUCUCUGAGUUUUUUAUAAUUUUUUUAUUUGUAAAAAUUGAAAAUAGUGUCAAAAAUUUAUAAUAAUUUACCUAUCCUAAAUAAUCAACUGAUUUAGAUCAUUUUGAAUAUAAUUUCUAAGUUAAUUUGGUUAUAAAUUAUAAAGUAUAUUUAGAAAGAAAUUAAGACAUUCAUUUUUCUAAUUGUCAUAUGAGUUAAUUUAGUUGAGUCGUUAUUUCCUCUCUCUUUUUUGUGGAAUGAGCCAUUCUUUCCUAUUAAGUUUAUCAACUUGUAAGUAGUUGAAUAGAUUCUUUGUAGGAGUAUGUCCUAUAAUAUAGCUUUCUGGAAUUCUUUGCAUAUAUACCCUUAAUACUCCAAACAUGCUAAAUUUCUCUCCUUACAUAUUAGAAUUAGAAUUAAUCUAUUUCCUUGCUAUCAUUUUUUUUAAAAUGUAUGUACGAUAUAUGGUAGAUUUUUUUAUUUUAUCUUUUGUGCAUUGGCACGAAAAAGAUACGAGCAGGCACAGCGGUGUACAAAUUGGGGUGUUGUUGGAGGUAAAAUUAAAUUACACUAAAAUAUACUUUAUCUUCUUUUUUCACAAUAUAUUUUAUUUUAAGAAGAGUUCUAACAUUAUAUCUUUAUAAUACAUUCUUUAUCUUCAAUUAAAAUUUAUUAAAAAUUAUAAAAUCAAAAAUAAAACUCAUCAAACAAAAUGUGAGACUCAUUAAUUUUUAAUAAAUUUUAAUUAACUGUGUAAGGUGUGCGUUCAAUUAAAUUUUAGAAAAUAUUAUGUUGUUAGCAUUUCUCUUUAUCUUAAUCAAUUAAAUAUAAUUUAUUUCAUUUCAUUUAUAUAAGAAAUAAUUAACUAAUUUGUAUGGAUUAAGAAAAUUAAUUAAUUUAACUAAUAGUGCGUUAAAUUAAAUUUAUGUAUUCUUUCCAUAAUUACCUCUAAAAUUAAUAGUAAGAUGUAGUCUUAUAGUCUUAUUCUUUUUUCAAGUAAUUUUAAUUUAUUGGCUUUAGUUCUUUUAAUCUCUUUCAUCAAUAAUAUAUUACUUUAAUGUUUAUUGGUUAUGCAUAUGAACAGGCUAGGUAAGGUAAAUUCCCAAAAUGAAAAGUUGGAUGGUUGAGUUAGGGUUUUCUCUCCCUAGCUCUUAUGAGAUGGUGCAACCACCAAAGCCACCAAAUGAUGGAGGAAGCAUAUCUACUACUAAAUUAUUGUUUAAAGAUAAGGUUCUAGGGGAUGUAAGAAAUUUAAUUACUAAAAGAGAAUGGUGAAGCUUAAGCAUGAAGGAGGAAAUCAUUUGCUUCCUAAGUUUGUUAUUGAACCAAAGAUGUUUGAUUAGUUAUACCAGUCAGAGGAGAAGUGUUUUGUGGUGAAAUUACUUUGGAAGAAAUUGGGCUUUUUUAAUAUCGUGAGGGAGAAUUUGCAAUCUAUUUGGAAAUUAGAAGAUGAUUUUGAGUUGAUAAAUGUUGUAAAGGGAAAUUUUGUGGUUAGUCUUGAUGUUGAGGCUAAUCGGGAGAAAGUUAUUAAUGAGGAACCUUGGAUGGUAUAACGAUCAUUAUCUUAAUUACUACUUGUCCUGCUUGGACUUUGGAGUUUUCAGCUUCCGAAUCAAAAGUUGGAAAGGACUUUGGUAUGGAUAUGAUUUCCUAGUUUGGUUUUGGUAUUCAAUGAUGAUAAUGAAUUGUUAAUAAUUACUUCCGCAAUUGGGAAAACAGUGAAAGUGGAUUCGAACAUUGUCAACAUGGCAUGUGGUCGAUUUGCAUGUGUAAAAGUGGAGAUUGAUCUUAUGUUACUACUUGAAAAAUUUUGUUUAAAUGAGAGUUGGUAUAAUGUGGACUGCGAAGGAUUUACACUUGUUUUGUUCAUCACGCGGGUGUUAUGACCGUGUACUAAGGAAUUGUACGUCAACCAUUUGUUUUUUUUUUUUUUCCUUUUUGCUUUUGUAUUGGGAAUAAGGGUUGGUUGUUUCUUUCUUGUAAUGAUAUUGAGCUUAUUAUGUAUGUUGUUUCUAGUGUUGUGCUAGGAUAUGACAUACUAUAUAUGUUCUCAAAGAAGAUAAAUCCCGUUAUGUUUUUGGUUCUAUUGAAAAGAAUAGGUGGUCAUAUGCCUAUGCAAAAUAGUUGAUUGAGAGUUGUUUUCUUCAUUUCACUCUUUUCAACUUAAUUACAUUCUUUCAUUAUUAAUUAUAUUAUAUAAUUAUUAUAGAUUAAUGUUGAUUUAAUCUUUUUUCUCUAUUUUUUCUUAUGAAAUUUGUGUGCGAGUCUCGUGUUAUUUUCAAAGCUUUUCACUAUCUUUUUCCUCAACCUAUACUUUCUUCUUUCCACUCUUUUCAAUCCUUUUCACUUUUAUUCCACACACUUUUUUCUUUAUCAAACACACCAUUAGUUUUUACAAGGUGUUAAAGAGUAUACAAAAAGUCAUAUAGGCAGAAAAUGAAAUCGACUAUUUUUGGGCUAAUGAAUUGUUAUGUGGGUUUGCCAUGAACUAUUCAAAGGUGGUUAUUGUUAUAUCCACUCUCCCUUUUUUUCUUCUAAGUAUACUCUCUUUCCUUUUUUUUCAAAAAAAUCAAUAAUAUUUCCAUUUCAAGCCUUCUUCUCUCCCUCACACACUCCAUCUUUCGUAGCAACAACCCCCCACCCCCCCUUCUCUCUUUCAUCAGGCUCUCUCUCUUCUCUUUCACUCUCUUCAUCCUCCUUUCCAAACUCUAAUGUAGUAUGUUUAUGCUCCAAAAUACUUUUCUUAUUUUAUUUUUAUUCACUCACACAAUAUCAUUAAUGUCUCAUUUUAUAUUGCGCAUGAUUAGAUCUUGAAUUUUUCAGUUGUUGCACCAAAACACCUCCAGAUUGAAUGACUGAUAUCAUUUAAUAUAAUGGUCAUAGUGUUAUGAUUUUUAACAUUCAUGAAAAUACUUUUCAAAACACCAUUUAUUUUUUAAUAUUCCAAAACACAAAAAGAGGAUUCCAUACUUUUUGGAAUGUUAAAAAAUAUGUGUUUUGAAAAGUAUUUUCUAAAAUGUUAAAAAUAAAAUACUGUUUCAGAAAGUACACUCUAGAAUACUAGUUGUAUAUCAAUGUUAUACGUAUAAUGAGUAUAUAUGAUGAUAAAAAUUAAAAUAAAAAACAAAUGAAAGUAUAUUUAGAAAGAAAAAUGGAUAUGGCAAAAACCUUUCAAGGUUUUGGUACGCCUAUAUGCGGGCUUUCCUGGUCACCCCAUUUCAUUACAUGUUGGACCCUUUGAGCUUUGAAAUGUCAGAAAUCAAAAUUUUCAAAUAGCGAUCACCAUAUAGUUUUUCACCUUUUUACUAGUAACUUGUUAGUUAUUUUUACUACAAUGUUAUAAUUUUAAAAAUUAUUUACUAAAAUAGAAUAAGAAGGGAUUAUACUUUCCUGAAUUUGAUUUUUUUCCACAUGUCAACUCUUUUUUUUUUCUUUCAUUACUUUCUCACCAUUUGAACGUUGAUUUAGUGUACAGUGUAACCCGUAGAAAAUUUAGAAACUCUUGUUAUUUCUCUGCUCCCAAACCGCAGAAUUGUCUUGAGAAUCUAAACUUUCACGUCCUUCUCUUCUCUCCUCGACAACUUCUUUGCUCCCACAUGACAAUGACAAAUUAUUGCAUCUGACAUGUGUAUUCAGGGUAAAAAAUAGGUCAGUUCGAUAAAAACCUAUAACCUAACUUAUAUUAGGUCUAAGUAAGUCAGGUUAGACUAGAAAUUAGAUUAGGCCAAAGUUUUUAGGAAAGUUUAUUUAGUUAAAUAGAUUGUGUAGGCCAUUUGAAAAAUCUUUUAGACCUAAAAAGUUCAUCUAUUUAAAAAGUUAUAAAUAAUUAUUCAUUACUAAUAUUAUUAUUAUUAUAUUAAAUUGUUAUAAUUUAUUAAAAUUUUAUAUUAUUUAUAUUUUUAAAUGUUAAUCAUAUUGAUUUACAUAAAAAGUCAACUUAAAAUUUAUAAUUAAGUUUAUUAAAAAAUAAAUUUAUCAUAUUUAAAUAUAUUAUUGCAAAAUAUAUUUGUAAAUAACAUCAUGUUAUAUUAAACCUUAAAAAUAUAUUUAUAUCAUAUAAAUAAGUUAGAUUUGAUUGUUAUAAAGUUUCACAUACAUAUUUUUAUCUCUUUCUUAAUAUUAAAUUAUUAUAAAUUAGACAAUCAAAAUAGAUUUAUAAUCAUAUCAAACUUUUAUGUAAGUCAGAUGAAGCUUUUUAGCUCCUUACCAUAUACUUUUAAUCUAACAAAAUCUAAUUCAACUCGACCGAUCCUGUGUGUAUCAUCAUGUUGAAGCUAGGCACUUGUCUAUGUGACAUUUUUUCUUAAGGUACGUGUCAUAUCUAACCGUAACAGAAGAACGAAAAGGAAAAAGUUAUAUCAUUUGUUCCGAGAUAAUAUCCCGGCCCGUAAAAGGAAUUGGUUCAUGUUAAAUAAUAAAAUUUUGUUACCAAAUAUUGAUAAAAUUAUAAUUAAUGUUAAAUAAUUCAGAUCAAAGAGGGAGGAAAAAAAUUAAGCAAGGUAUAAAAUAUAAAAUUACAACACACUCUUUUCUGGAAAGAUGAAAAAAGAAAACGUGAAGAAAGAAAAAAUUUGAAAAAAAAAAUAUGAAGAUAUAUUAUAUAUUGGGCUUUUAGAACGUAGUAUUAUAACUUUCCUUUUUCCCAACCUAGUUCUUCUAAAUCAACUAAAGCUUAUUUGGAUAAUCUUCUCUAGAAAAAUUUAUAGGAGAAGAAAAUAAGAAAAAAAUGAAAUGAAUUUUUUCAUACUUUAAAUAAGUUUCCUAUUAAUUGACUAUUAGCUAACUUCUUUUUAUCUUAUUUUUUCUAUAUUAUCUCUUUUUUUCUAUUUUAUUUUAAUUCAUUAUUAUGUUCUAUAUUUUUCUGUUUUCUUUUUUUUUCUUUUUCUAUAGCCAAAGAGCCCGACCAGUACGUACCUAGUUGGGCUCUUUUUAAUUCCCAUGAAUAUUGAAUAACAAUGUUUUGUUUGAAUUGAAUGUACUUUAUUAGAAAUAUGUUUUCUCAUCUUUUAGACAAAUUAUAUGAUUUCUAUAAAUUAGUUAAUUUUGUUAAUGAACAUCUCAUUUUAACUUAUCAUGAAAUUUAUCUCAUUAUUUUUUUCUCUUAUUAGUGUUUCUAAAUAAAUUUAUCCAAACAGGUCAUAACACUUUGUCGACCAGUACCUGAUAGCUUCAACAUCAUUUGAAGUGUCCUCUCCACACAUUGGAGGUGCUCUGAAGUUGUCUCAGUGUCUAUCUAAUGGUUAAAUGUCACAAACAUUGAUUUUUCACCUAAGUGUUUGUUGUUUUCCUCCAUUUGCAUAGCUCCGUUGAGGUUGGGUCGAUGUAGGCAUUGUUCCUUCUUUGGAAAUUUUAUUGUUAAGGUUCAUUUUUUGGAAUUCUUAGUUAACUAUUUUCCCUAUUAAGUAAUCCAAAAGGGUAUUGAUGGUAAAAGAAUUCAAAAUAUGCAAUCUAGAAGACUUAUUAAUGUCUUACAGAAUAUGUAUUCCAAAAAAUUAAUUACAAUUUCGAACUAGGCAAUGAAGAAAAGAAACUUCAACCUUUCAAAAUAAUUAUUCCAUUAAUUUUUAACCAUCUUCUAGAUUAUCCAUUGCGGAAUAUGUUUAACAUUUUUGGAAUAAUUAUUCUGAAAGAUUGAAGCUUCUUUUUUGGAUAGUAAUUAGUUUUCUAGAUUGAUCAUUAUGUAAUAGGACUGAAAGCCUUCCAGAUUGUCUUUUCAGAACAAUGUUUGAAAAACAAAUGAUCCGGAAUGUAUAUAAAUACGUUACGUUGCACAACAUGUUCAUUCUGAGUGACUUACCUUCGUCGGUGUCGGGGUGGCUUCAAACAGGUUUGUUGCGCAAGGGAAUGGCGGUGCCUUCAACCACCUGAUGUGUCGCAAGCCUUAGGGAGUCAGGUUGGCGCGCCGCACGACUAAGGUGAAGAAGUGACGGUGGCGCACCGUAGCAGUGAAGGAGUGAGGUCAGGGGGUGCUAGCUAGGGUUAGGGAAGGAGGUGCGCCACUUGAGGUAAUAAGAAGCGCGUGAGAGAUAGGAAUAAUUUUGUCAAGGGGUGCAGGAAGCAAACUGGGAGAUGAGUAAAACAUGUGAACUGCAGCAUCUCUCACAUGUUCUAAUCCAUGCAAUAUCUUACAGGGUUAGAACAAAUCUCUCUCUAUCCUAACUAAAUAUUUGAUAGAAUUGUUUAUCUGGAUUCAAAUUUAAUAAUAUACGAGAGUUCAGUCAUGAUUGGAUUAAUUCGAUACAUUAAUAUAAUAUAUCAAUUAUUAUAACAUUAAGAUAAAUAUAACAUGUAAAUAUAAUAUCAUGUUAUUGAAAACAUAAUAGUAUUAUCUCAGGGAAUUACCUUCCUGUAGCCCAAGCCAAUCUUAGCAUGAUCUCCCUAACUCUUGUGCUCCAAACCGAAUGUGGUUAACAAAC
rnacentral:lncRNA from 1 species